rnacentral:lncRNA from 1 species
GCAACAUAACUGGCCGCAGAUAUCUGCCUUCCCGUUUACGCAAAACUGCGGAAUGCCACAAGAUUUAGGGCACAUCGCUUGAUUGCACAAGGUAGAUUAAGG